rnacentral:lncRNA from 1 species
UUUUUUUUAUCUUAGGAGUGAUUAUUGGUAGUAUUAGUGUCACAUUACCUCAUUUGUAGCAAUUUAGGGUUCAUUUUGAUCUUAAAUCUUCAUCAUUUCGCUGAAUAUGGAUGUGGGUUUGGGACAUUAGAGUUUAUUUGGUAUCUAAGAAUUUUUAUUGGGUAGUAUGAUUAGAGAGUGUUGGUUUGGAACUUUGUAAAUGAAUUGGGUUGAUAGUAUUUUUUUUACUCUUUUCUAGGAUUUAUCUUUCCCAAUUUGGAUCGCCAAUUCACGAGGAUCAUCCAAAUUUACCCUUUUUUUUCCAAUCCUUUCUCCUAUUUGAAUUUCUGUUCUUGGUGAUUCAGGAUGAUAUUUCUUAUUGUUAUUUAGAUAUACAUUUUUUUCUUUCAUCCAAGUCCCUGAAGUUUUAGUCAAGUUUCACUUUAUUGAACUUGUAAGUAGAACAUAUGUCAUUCCAAACUUUUAGAAUUUCUUCACUUUAGUACGUAAACGUAGAGGAAAAAUUGUUUCGUGCAUCUGUGCAUCCAUUCACUGUGAAUCUUCAGUCCUCCAUCCAACUUAAUACUUUCAGUCCUCUGUCUCAUUUGUAAGUGGAGUCUGAUUUGCAAGUGGAGAUAAAGUUGCAAGUCAAUGGGUGGUAGCGAUCGAAAUAUGAGAUGGAUAACGGAAUGGUUCUGUGGUGCACGAAUGUACGAAUGCAUUGGGUGUAGGUAAUAAUAUCUCUUCUAACAAUAAAUAAUGACGAGAACUAAAGUGAAGCACUUUCAAAAGUUUGAAAUGUCGGAUGCCCAAGUCAAAAGUUUGUGGACUAACGGACCACAAUGAGACUUGGCUAAAAGCUUAGGGACUAGAGGUGCAAUUUACCUAAGAGAAUAUAUAUAUCUGAUCUAGCAUAUCCUAUAAUGAGCUUCUAUGUUUCUGCACUUUCACUACUUAUCCAAUUUUUUUACCUGUGAAAGUAAUGCAAUUUUAUGUUGCAGUCUAUUUGAAGAUCUGGUUAGUUUAUUAUCAUUCGAUUUCUUUUUUUUUUCUAUUGCAUCCUACAUACUUGUAAUUGAGGAAGCAAAUUUUUGGAUUCAAUAAUUUGUAUCAAUGCAAGUGAUUCUUGUUGAUACUAUGAGGUUAGCAACUAAUAGAUCACGUUUCUUACAUGAUUUUCACGAGAAUUUUGUUGGACUUAUUAUCUGAUGGAGAUCAUACAAGUUUUUUAGAGUGCAAAAAAGUCUCUGGUCAUCUGGUGUAUUUACUUCUUCAUCACUGCCUCCAGUUGUUUUAGUUUUAGUGGAUAAUUGAGAAUUUAAUGUGACUUGAUUUUGAAACUGAAUUCUGGCCUUAUUCUAUUUCACAACAUUCCGCUUUCUUGAACAGGCACCUAAUAGGGAUGUUGUGACACUAUCUUCUGGUUCUGAUUCUUCUCCCAGAAAUAGCCCGUCGAGGCCUACUACUACGCAUGACAAAGCACCAAAGAGACAUCCGGAGAAUGAUGACUCAAUAGUUAUUGAAAGUGGAGAAGAUAGUCAAGUUAAGGCUAAAAAGGCAAAAAAUGUAAAAGUCGAGAACUGUCCUAUUCUAGUAGAAGGUAAAUUUAAAGGGAUUCAAAUCUAUUAGGUAAUAAUGCAACUGUUGCAGCUUUUAAGUGUACAAAUGCUUGUGUGCAUGCGUGCAUGAAUUUUUGGAAGCACUAGGGUAACAGUGCUUCUGCUACUUUUCUCUUUGGACGGGUUUUGAUAUCCGCGCAUGCACACUUCAUUUCAAGGUGUGUGCCUGCAUGAUGUACAUCAAGCAAGGAUUGUCGUGCCACUAGCACGGCCGUGCAGCUGUGCUGACAGCACGGCAUGGCACGCCUUCCGUGCCAGUGGCUCAUCACUAGCUUUUUGGCACACAUUUGCAUGAAUUCUUUUCAAUUAAAUUGUCAUAAAAAUUAGUUUUUUAGAGUGUUUCAACAUCUCUAAUGAUUAGGAAACUAGUUUAUAUAUUAUAUCUCCCAUUAUUUAAUAGAAAUAGAGUCACAAACAUCAUAAUAACUUAAAAAAAUAAUUUUAUACAUAUUAUUGGAUAAAAAUUUGUAAGAAAACACUGCCAUGGGUAUAUGCAAUAGAUCUAAAAUGAUAAAAAACUUGGAGGAAAUCUUCUUAUUUGUGUAUAUAUAUAUAUAUAUUUACUUAAAGUUGGUCUUAUUAUGAAAUUGAGCUUACUAAUUUCUCCAAGUGUAAGUAGAUUUUCAAGAACUACAAAUUUUAAGUAUGAAAGCACUUAAAAAAACUCUUUACCUCAAAAAAAAAAAAAACUCAAAAAGAUUUCAGAAAAUGUGAAAAAAACUACUUUCUUGAUACCAACCCCGUGCCACGUGCCUGCCAGCACAUGGGCAGCAUGAGGCGGCAGGCACAUGCAAUACUUGGCAUCAAGAUUCCCUCUUAUUAGAGGCGUGCAUACAUGACAAAGCCAAUUUGACACAAAAAAAUGAAAACUUCAGCCCCUCAUUGCCUCCAAAACUAUUCCAGCACAACUCCUUUCUCUCUGUAUUUUAUUUAUUAUUCAUAUAUAUAUAUAUAGAGAGAGAGAGAGAGAGAGAGAGAGAGCUAGGCUGGUAUACUAUCGGUAGCACGAAAGCCGUGCUACCAAGUUGUUUUCAAUGAUGCGGCUUUCAAAUCGACGAUCGGCUCCAUUAGACUUGAUCUACACUAUUAACAGUAUUUGGAAACUAAAUUUCAUAAUUUUUCAACAUCAUUUGGCUUGUGAUCAAAAGGUCUCAAAAUUGACAAUUUUAAUGGUAGAUGUGAUGCAUUUGUGAAUUUAAUGGCGUAAAACAAUCCAAAUCUGAUGAAAUUUUUAUAGAAAUUUUUUUUCACUAUUUAGAGUAAGAUCAAUACCUCUGAUCUUAAAUUCAAGUCUUUUAUCAUUAUUUUUUAUGAGAUUUUUAUUUUCAGCCGUUCAUUUUUAGACUACUCGUUUGAUAGGUAAAUGAUGCCGAAAAAUUAUGAAAUUUAGUUGCCAAAUACUUACAAUAGUGUAGAUCAAGUCUAACGGAGUCGAUCGUCGAUUUAGAGGUCGCAUCAUUGAAAGCAACUUGGUAGCACGGAGGCCUUCGUGCUACCGAUAGUACACCAGCCUAGCUCUCUCUCUCUCUCUCUCUCUCUCUAUAUAUAUAUAUAUAUAUAUAUAUAUAUAUAUAUAUAUAUAUAUAUACAUUCUCAUAUGUGCCCUUCGAACACCCUUGGAAAACAUCUUCUAAAGCAAGACCAACUUCCCUCUUGGAAUUUAUAACUCUCUAACUUAGAAUAAGGGUAUUUUUAUACGAAACUCGACAUCUGAGGAGUGUAUGUGAAUAUUUAAUCUUACACAUGUAUAUAAGCCCCUGUAUUAUUUUACCUUAUUACGAUUAUCUUGGUGUGUUCUAACAUAGAUACCUUGGAUACACAAGAGGACGGACCUGCUGAAGUGGAUAUUAAAGAAAAAUCUAGUGAUCCUCCUGUAAGAUGCUAAAUAUGUGCUGUUUCUCCUCUAUCUUCAUCCGUAUGUGCUAAUGUGUUUUGUUUUUGAGUUAACCUAUGUUUCAAUUCAAAUCUUAUUAAGAUAAUUGACAUUUAAUUAUACUGUGUAAAUUGUUGUUUCCAUGUUAUGUAAACUAGGUGCCGAAAACUAGUAGUUUUACAUGAUCUGUAUGAGCAAAUGAGGUUUAGUAGUGGUUGUUGAUAGGACUGUAGGGACCAGAUGUUUGACUUUUUACCUAUUUCUAUGAUGGAUUUUCUAUUACUCUGUUUGCUUAAUUCUUUGAUGAAGUACAUUUUCUUUUGAACUUUAGGUUUCUCAGAGGUUGCCAUUGAUCUUCCCUGACAAAGUUCAACGUUCAAAGGUACAACUUCUCCUAUCUUUGAAUGGUUGUGGGUUGAAGAGAAUUUCUUCUUUGCUGGAUCUGUUAAUUCAUAAUUUACAUUUAACUAGCUCAUUAAAUUGUUUUUUAUGUAGGAUCUCCACCAAAUAAAAGAAUGGGAAUUUCAAGAGAAAUUUACUUAAUUAUGUAACACUCCAACCAUAAACUUUGGAAGUGCUAAAUCAUAGGCUAGAAGCAGUUUAUGCUUUCUGAUAGCAAGAAAUCUAUGGUUUAGCCAGAUAGUAUCUAAGCAAUCUCAUUCAAUUACUAAAGCUGAGGAUGAUUUAAAGCUAGCAUUUUCGCGUCAUGAGUUUCAUUUUGGAUAUUAAGCUAAAAUUGAAAGUUUCUUAUGCAACAGAAAGUAUAGCCAUAGGAACUCGUAUUGCCAAUGCUUGUAAAAAAUUGUUGCACAAGUUAGACUACUCCCCUAAUGAAAAUCUCAUACUAGACUAAACCUCAUGAAGUUAUUUUGCUAUCAUGAAGUUGUUGUGCUAUAUUCUCUGCUUUAGAUAACUGUUAUAGUAUUCUUGAAUUUUGUUGUCGCAUAUGCCUGUGAUAAAUGUUUCACCACUAUACCCGUGUCUGGGGUGUGAAUGAAUAUACAUCAGGUUUUCACAGCACACAAGAGAAAACCAAAUAGGGGUAUUUUUGCAAUAUUCCAUAUUUGUAUUUGCAGGGGAUAUGUUUUUGACAAAUCCAUUUUACAAUUUGAUAUUGUAGUGACACUGCCUGUUUGGAAGAUUGUCCCAUGAAAACUUGGUUGAUGCAAGAUCAUUGCGAGAUCUAUCAUGUUUUAGUACCAGAAUGUCAUGGGCAUACAUAAUCAAUUCUAAGGGCAUUAGGUUUACUGAUUCUUUUCUAAUUUCAAGUCAAACUACUUCUCCACAUUGAAACUACCUAUAGAUCAUGGGUUUGAAAAUUUGAAAAUCGAAUUUCAGUAGGAAGCUUGAGUCAUAUCUUAAAUUGUGCCAAAUCUGGGGCAUUAUGAAGUUGGGUUCAGACUUCAGACUUGUCUACCUUUACUCAGCUUUACCUUAAUUCUAAAUGCAUUAGGUUUACUGAUUCGUUUCUAAUUUAAAGUUUGAAUCAGCUCUGAAACUACUUGUAAAUCAUGAAUUUGAAACUUGAAAAUUGAAUUUGAGUAGGAAGCUUGAGUCAUUACUAAAAUUGUGCCAAAUUUGGGCACUUUAAAGCUGUGUUCAGACUUCAGACUUGUCUAUCUUUUCUCAUCUUUACCGCGAAGUGUGUGCUGUAUUGUAUCUCCAAUAAGAGUUCAUCUUAUGAGCAAAAAGUAGAUUUUAUUGAAAUUAUCUAAUUGGUUUUGUUCAGUUCCUUCGGUUACAUCCUGUUGAAAUGUAAGUUACAGUAUGGAAACAACAAACUCACUAGAACUACAUUAUCAUAUUUAAAUAUGGAAAAUAUGCCGCACCAUGCCUUCCAGAGAAGUCCACAUAAAUAACCGUAAGUUAGAUUUUUCUACAAAGUAUCUUUUUGGUAGUGCAGUGCGAAAAAGAUGUGUAUAAUCUGACUAUCAGAGUGUCAAUUGUUCUGCUUGAUACAACAAACUUUGGUGAAGAAAUUCACAACAUAUCAAGAGAGUUGUAACCUGUAAGAUGUCAAAUAUUUGGCUAUCGACACUAUGAUUUUUAGUAGCAAUGACUGUAAUUGCUCACUGUGGUGCUUGGCUAUUUUUAGCUGAAGUUGAUUAUGUACAAUAUAAUCUCAGUUCCUCUCUUUUUGGUUUUACAUCUAGGCCCUUGUUGAAUGUGAUGGAGACUCUAUAGACUUGAGCGGAGAUAUUGGAGCUGUUGGACGAAUUGUAAUUUCAGAUGGUCCUGCAGGGAACCAAGAAUUGCUAUUAGACCUAAAAGGUAGCUUUUAAGAACUUUAACAUCUUCAAGUUUGUUAUGCAGCUAAAUGUCAAUAUGCUCAAUUUUAGUCUUGAAUUUUUUUUUCUUUGCUUUUCUUUUUUUUGGAACUUGAAAUUCUAAUAAAGUACAAGUUUUAUCGCAUUAGUGAGGAAAGAAGUGUAUUCUUGUCAGACUAGUAUGCUGAUAACUUAUAUAAUAUUAAUAUCUAUUAAUAUCUAUGAUCAGUUCUUUCAUGGUUUCUUGAUUUUGCAGAAAUAAACAUUAAAGAAAAUGAAGGUCUAAGUUUUAAUUUCUGUUAUGUUUCUCGGAGGAGAUUGAUCUUGUGCUAGAUUGAUCUUGUGCCUACUCUGUCAGCUAAGGUCUAAAUCUUUGCUUGUAGUGAACAUACUGUUACCAUUUUAGAUCUGGCAAGUUUUGGUGUCAUUCUAAAGUCUAAACUUUGGGGAUGGAUGAAUAUGAAUUGAGCCUCUUUCUCUUUCUCUAUUUAUUAUUUUUUUAAUAGAAUCCUAGCUGGUGCUUGACUAGUGAAUUUUAGGUCUAAGGCCAUUGCUUUGGAAAGCUAGGCCCAUGCCUGGUUAUUACAAGUCAGUCGAGAGGGUCAAUAACCAUUUGACACCACAUAAAUAUUUUGAGUUUGCUUGCAUGUAUUCAGUUUGGCCUUUUAUUCCUAUCUGGAGCAUGGCUUUAUUCUGCUGGUUGAUCUUAUUUCUCCAUGCUUCCUUGCUUAGUCUAGAAAAAAUAGAACAUAGAGCAAGAUGGAAAUAGUAUAUUAAGAGUGCAGGUUGUUCAUUUUUCAAUGCAGGUCAUUAAUUUUUUCCUUUUACAUGAGACAUAUAUAAACUCACUUAAAAAUUGUGAAUUUUUUAAUUCUAGAUAUUUCUAAUAGUUUAGAUAUCAUCAAAAUAGGCAUCCUCACUAUUAUGCCUUUAGUGCAACAGAGUACUGCAACAUGACCAGUUUCUGCAUAAAUAAUAGCUAUAACUUUCUCAUUUGCUAACUUGGUGACUUGUGGAUAAUUUUCCUUUUAAGAAGAUGAUUCCUUCGAAUGUGUGCUUUGACUUCUUAGAGUUAUCUUUUUUGAUUCUCUUUCUUAUUUCCACUUUGUUUUGACCUCUUGAAAUUCUUAUGUAUUACUUACCUAUAUUUUCUUUCAAUGGGCUUAUUAGUUCCUAUCACUUUUGUACUUGUAGUUAAUGAUUUUCUUUCUGUUUCUGUUGGUGGAACAGGCACAAUAUAUAAAUCAACUAUAGUUCCUUCACGAACAUUUUGUGUAGUAUGUUAUUCGUCCACCUUGAGACCAUUUAUUUCUUGCUUCUUAGAUCAUUAUCUUUCCUAGAUUUGUUUAUGGCGGUAUUUCUGUAUGCAGGUUAGCGUGGGACAAUCAGAUGCAAAGGUCUGUCAGCCUAAAUCUCAGUCUAAGAGUUGUUAAGUUCUCUACCUGUGCUCCCUUUUAGGAUACAAGUUCUGUUAUGAAAAUAGAUCAAAUUUAAAAUCGUCUUCCGUAUCUAUGAACAUGUAGUUUGCUUACGAUUUCUUUCAUUAUUUUUCACGUUAUAAUUGGUUUUAAUGAUUCGUUACUUUUCUCCCUUUUCUUGGCAGAUUAUUGUCUGAUAAUAAUUAGUAUUCUGUUCUCAUUUAUGACUUAGUCGUAAUUAAUACUUUUGUUUAUUAUUUGCAUUGAUUUGGCAAUAUUUGUUUUAAAAGUAGGUAUUUUUCCAGUGAUUUUGCUUGGAACUCUUGCAGUUAUAUCUAACUAUAUUUUCAGAAUUUUCUUUUCUGAAGUUAUUCACAUAAUUAGUGAUUUUAAAUGGUGACUGUGCAGAUAGAAGCUAUCAUGAAUGAUUUCAUUCAAUUGGAGCCCCAAUCUAAUGUGUUUGAAGCUGAGACAAUGAUUGAAGGUUCCUAUUCUUUGCCCCCUUUUACGUCAUUGUUCAAACAGUUUGGAUUUACGGGAGCUAAUUUUCUAGAACAGAUUAAUUGAAUUCUACUCAUUCGCCCUUGAUUUCCAAAAUUUGUCUGUAAUGCUCGAAUUCCUUAAGCCAAGCUUAUUGACUUUUCGGGUAGUAAUACUUUAGAAAUAUCUUAGUUCUUUUACAAGUAUUUGUACUAGGGCUAUUAGCUGAGCAGUUGCUUAACUUCAUCAUGCAGAGAAUUGCUAAUUCUGAUUAGUUGUUUGACUUUGCUCUUAUGAUGUUCACAGCCAUUGCCUUUUGAAAAUCACAAAGCAGACUUGUCCGUUGUCCCAUUACCCCUUGGGUCUCUUGGCAUUUGAUUGUUAAUGCAGUUUGCUGCUUGACAAACAUCAGCUGACAGCCAUGUCUUUAUUUAUAACAAGGAUUUAAGUGCCGUGACACGGAGUCGUGCCAGAAACUUGCUGGCACGGUGUAUGCCAAGCCGUGCCGAUGCGUGUCAAUCACAAAAAUUUUCUGUGUGCUGACACAUAAUAGUAUGUUAGCAACAAAAUAGUCUAACUGUUUAUUAUGUAUUUUUAUCAAAUCUUUUGAAUUUUAUUGAGAAAAUUACUUACUAAUUUAAAGAAUAGUGGAUUUUGAGCUGUGCCAUCGGCACGAGGGCUGUAUCGUGUCGAUAUCUUGUUGGCACGAUACGGCACGGUAGAUUUGAUGGACGCUUAAAUCCUUGGUUCAUAACAAUGCAAUUUACAUUUAUGAAGCUAAAAUUUGGAUAACUUCCUUGUAUACUAGUGUAAUGGCCCGCGCUUCGCGGCGGGAGCUAAUAAUGCGGGAAGCUAAUAAGAUGAUUAUUUUAUUAUAUUUAUUUAUUAAGAAAUAUAGAGAUACAUAUAACAUUAACAUUAUGUAAGAUAACUAAAUACAUAAGACAUAAUCUAAUAUGAUACAAUGUCAUUUAUAAUGCAAAUAUAAUUGGUAAAACAGUUUCCAGAUUAUGGCCUACCUGUUCCACUUGAUUUCUUGCCGAUGUUAAUCUUGCCCGGCCCUUCCCCAGCUUUCGAACUGCAUAAGUAUGAACAAUAUCUCACAUAUAUACGGUUACUGCAAACAUGUUGGUUUAUCAUUAAGUCUGAGUGCAUUGCAAGCAUAGAGACUUACUGAUAUUUUUUUCUUUAUCUGGUCAAGUCAGCAGUUCUCGGCGUGUAUCAUGUUGGUUUAUCAUGUUGGUUUUUAGAGUUUAUGUUCAUCUCCGAAUUCAAGUAUGUCACGGCUAUUGCAAACAUGGCAUUCAAUUUCAGUACUAAUUCCAAAUACAUUAAAGUGCUGGACUUUUUUCCCACAUUAAACAUACCUUGAUCAAAAUAGUAAGGCAUUUUCUUAUCAUUUUAGAUAAAGGCAUCGAAAUAUAAACAUAGAGCAAGAACAGAAAACUUUGGAGAAAACGUAAUUUUCGUAACCAAUUAUUAAUUUAUUUUAAUUAAGGGAGUAAUGGAAAAUAAAAUGCAUCUAACAUAAAGAGACGAAAAGACUGUAAUUAAUUAGUCACAUUAUUAAACUGUUUUAAAAAUUUACCUAUGAAGUCAGCAAAAUUUAAGAAAGAUUAAAUUCAGAAAAUUCUGCACAAAAAUUUGAUGACUGAUAAUUAAUUAACUUUAAGUAAGCAAGUCAGGCAAGAAGAAACAAAAAAAAAAAAAAAAGUUACACAUUUAAUUUUUUUUAUUUAUCUAAGUUUAUCGUUCUAGUAUAGAAAGAAACAUAUUUGUUUAGCCUAAAAUAUUAAUUUAUGUAUUUUUAUACCAUCAAGAAGUACACUCUAUGAGAGUAUACAUCAACAUAGUUUUACCUUACCUUACGAAAGUAGAAGAUAUGGACCCCAAAUUAUUCUAGAAAAAAUACAUCGAUAUGACUGGCUGGAUUUAUAUCAUUUUGGAUCCUCCUCACAAAAUUACGAGAUAGAGCCAAGGGAAAUUACUCCUCCUUCCUAAAGUAAAUGGGUCCUAAUAACUCUAGUAGAAGUUGUAAGUGUAUAUAUAUAGCAAAUUGGAGAAUAUUCUAUAUCAUGGUUGAUGUUGAAAGACAAAUAGGUAGAGACAAAAUUAAAGGUUCAUGCACCCUGUGUUUGAUGUUAAACAAUAUUACUAUAUAUAGAAAAAGUUGGGGAGGAUGCAUGCAUCGUAAUGAUAAGAAAGAAAGCAAAAGGACAAGGAAUAUUCUAGUACUAUGGGAAAUCUUGUUUAAUGCACCCUGAGUUUGAUGUUAAACAACAUUGCUAUAUAUAGAAAAUGUUGGGGAGGAUGCAUGCAUCGGAAUGAUAAAAAAGAAGCAAAAGGACAAGGAAUAUUCUGUAAGAGAAAAGUUUAUUUUGUGUGCAAGAUACUAUUUUUAUUGGACUUAGAGAAGUAAAAGGCAAUUUACAAAUAAUUCAUGGUGAAAUUGGAGUGAAAACAGAAGAUUUAGAAUUUUCUGUAAGGAACGGAGCUUUUUUUUAGCAGAGAAUUCAUAGUGUCAGAAAAUUAUGAAAAUUUGAAAAUAUGUCGGAAUUAUUUUUCUGAGGGGUUAAUUACACCAAUUGUCCCUAACCUUUACACUUUUUCAAUUUGGUCCCUAACCUGUUUUUUUUGCAAUCAAGUCUCUAAUCUCUUGAUUUCAUUUCAAUUAAGUCCCAGCUGUUAGAUAGCUGUCAAAAUUGACGGAAAAUGCCACGUUAGUGCCACAGAGGCGUCAUGUCAGUGCCACGGAGGCGUUGUAUUAGCGCCACGGUGGCGUUGUGUCAGCGGAUUGCAAAAAAAAAGGUUAGGGACCAAAUUGAAAAACGGUGCAAAGGUUAGGGACCAAUGGUGAAUUAACCCAUUAAAAUUAUAAAUUCAAAAAAAAAUUUAAUUUAAGAUUUAAAUUUUAAAUUUAAAUUUUGAUUUUGGAUUCAAAUUUAAAUUGGAAUUCAAAUUCGGAUUUUGUAUUUAUUUUAAAUUUUAAAUUUUAAAUUCAAAUUCACAUUUGGAAUUCUAAAUUCUAAUUUAAUUUCAAACUUUGAUUUGAAAUUUCAAAUUCAAAAUGUGAAGUUUAAAUUCAAAUUUAGAAUUGAAAUCAAAUCUUAAAUUCAUAUUUAAAUUUUGAGUUCAAAUUUAAAAUUUAAAAUCAAAAAUUUGAAUAUGAUUUUAAAUUUAAAUUUGGACUUUAAAUUUAAAUUUCGGUUUCAAAACUUUCAUUUUAAAUGUAAAUUGAAAUAUCAAAAUCAAAAUCAAAAUUUUAAGUUUGAAUUCAAAAUUUAGAUUAAAUUUAAAAUUUAAAUUUAAAAUUUGAAUUUCAAUUCAAAAUUUUAACUCAGCUUUAAAUUCAAAUUCAAAAUUCUAAUUUCUCGUUAGUUUAAAAUUUUAAUUUUAAUAUUAUUUUUGAAUUUAAAUUUAAAAUUUUGAAUUUUUAUUUUUAGGGACUAAAAUGAAAAACGUGCAAAGUUUAGGGACCUAAAUUAACAUGCAAAAAGGUGCCAAAUAGGCGCUGACGUGGCGAUUUCGUUAAUUUUAAUAGUUUUUUAAUGGUUGGGACGUAAUUAUAAUAAAAUCAAGAGAUUAGGGACUCAAUUGCAAAAAAAAAAAGGUUGGGGACUCAAGUGAAAAUUGCUGCGAAGGUUGGGGACUACCGGUGUAAUUAACCCUUUUUCUGAGGCUGGAUUUAAAGUUUCGUGUCAUUCGGACACUUGGAAAGUAGAAACGGAACAUAACAAUAAUUUGAUAAAGAUUUUAGUUGGUAGACCUUUCGGUGACAAAAAAUGAUUCAAAACUGAAAAAUUAAGAUCACGUUCUUCUGAUUGAUUUUAACUGAGUUUGACUUUCAAAUUUGAGCGUAAACGGACAUUCGGAAGGGCUCCAAUUAAAAGUAUCAGAUUCUGAACUGGACUAAACUGUAAGUUGUAGUUGUUGGGGGGCCUAUAUGUAAGCCCACACCAUCUCUCCCUGGUUUUGCCCAACAUGUGUGAGAGUGGAGAAGAUUCUCUUUCUCUUUCUCUCCCACACACACCUACAACAUGAGAGCUUCUCUCUCUUUCUCUCAAACCCUCUACAUUUUCGCUUUAGGUAGGCUUAAAUUUUCAAACCAGUAGCACAUUAAUGGAUUAAGUAAACUAAAUAUUCCAUUGUUAGUGGUUAAGUCAAUUAUUUUUGUGAGUAAAUUUAAUAAUUUUUAAGCUUUCAUGAUUUCUAGGUCGGUUUUGCUGAAUUAUUGGAAUGAAUUCUGACAAACCAAUUUAGUUGCGUAAAUAUAAAUAUUUUCGAAAUAUGAAAGUAAUGUGCUAGUAUUACAAUUAGCCAACUAAAAUUACCUAAUCCAAUUUAGUUAGAUAAAUAUUGGGCCCAAAAUUAAGCUACUUACACCACAGCAAAUUUUCUUAGACUUGAAAGCUGAAAUGUGGUAAAUAUAUGUUGCUAAAUUACACUGCAGGGCCUUAAAUUAGAAAUUUAGAUGCAAUUCGCUAUCAAAUUUUAAUCUACCAUAUUUCCUAGGUUGGUUAAACUAUUAUAAUAUGACAGAUAACGACUUAAGGCAUACAAUUGCAGACAGUUGUGUAAUUAUUGAUAUUUUAUGUAAAAAAAUAAAAGUUAUGCAAAUCGCUCGUACGUUUUAUUUUUUCUACCCAAAAUUUGAAUUCCAUUGUAUGCUUAAUUAUUGAAGUUGUUUGGUUAAAUGGCGAAUUAUUAGCGAUGAUAUUAUCAGUUCAAAAAAAUCGAGUUUAUCUCUGAGUCCGAGUGCAGUGCAAACACAGAGACAUAAUGUUUUUUUUUUUAUUUAUCUGGUCAAGUUAGCAGUUCUGAGCAUGCAUCAUGUAGGUUCUUGAAGUCUAAGUUCAUAAUUGAAUUCAAACCCGCACGGCUACUGCAAACAUGGCAUCCAAUUUCUAUCCCAACUAUGCCGAUCUAGAAAUUUUUUCUUUCAAAUAAGAUCACUCUAUAAUUUACUGCACAAAUUCAAUUUGAUGAUAAGAAAGAAAGCAAAAGGACAAGGAAUAUUCUAUGUACUAUGGGAAAUUUUGUAAGAGAAAAGUUUAUCUUGUGUGUGAGAUAUUAUUUUUAUUGGACUUAGAGAAGUAAAAGGCAAUUUAGAAAUGAUUCACGGUGAAAUUGGAAUGAAAACAGGAGAUUUAGAAUUUUCUGUAAGGAACGGAGCUUUUUUUUAGCAGAAAAUUCAGUGUCAGAAAAUUUGAAAAUUUGAGAGUAUGUCGGAAUUAUUUUUCUGAGGCUAGAUUAAAGUUUCAUGUCAUUCGGACAUUCGGAAAGUGGAAACGGAACAUAACAACAAUCUGAUAAAGAUUUUAGUUGGUAGACCUUUUGGUGGCCAAAAUUGAUUCAAAACUGAAAAAUUAAGAUCACGUUCUUCUGAUUGAUUUUAACUGAGCUUGACUUUCAAAUUUGAGCGUAAACGGACAUUCAGAAGGGCUCCAACUAAAAGUAUUAGAUUCUGAACUGGACUAAACUGUAAGUUGUAGUUGUUGGGGGGCCUAUAUGUAAGCCCACAUCAUCUCUCCCUUGUUUUGCCCAACACGUGUGAGAGUGGAGAAGAUUCUUUCUCUCUUUCUCUCCCACACACACCCACAACAUGAGAGCUUCUCUUUCUUUCUCUCAAACCCUCUACAUUUUCGGUUUAGGUAGGUUUGAAUUUUCAAACCAGCAGCACAUUAAUGGAUUAAGUAAACUAAAUAUUCUAUUGUUAGUGGUUAAGUAAAUUAUUUUUUUGAGUCAAUUUAAUAAUUUCUAAGCUUUCAUGAUUUCUAGGUCGGUUUUGCUGAAUUAUUGGAAUGAAUUCUGACAAACCAAUUUAGUUGCGUAAAUAUAAAUAUUUUCGAAAUAUGAAAGUAAUGUGCUAGUAUUACAAUUAGCCAACUAAAAUUACCUAAUCCAAUUUAGUUAGAUAAAUAUUGGGCCCAAAAUUAAGUUACUUAACUCACACCACAGCAAAUUUUCUUAGACUUGAAAGCUGGAAUGUGGUAAAUAUAUGUUGCUAAAUUAUACUGCAGAGCCUUAAAUUAGAAAUUUCAACGCAAUUCGCUAUCAAAUUUUAAUCUACCAUAUUUCCUAGAUUGGUUUUAUAAACUAUUAUAAUAUGACAGAUAACGACUUAAGGCAUACAGUUGCAGACAGUUGUAUAAUUAUUAAUAUUUUAUGUAAAAAAAAAAAGUUAUGCAAAUUGCUCGUACGUUUUAUUUUUUCUACCCAAAAUUUGAAUUCCAUUGUAUGCUUAAUUAUUGAAGUUGUUUGGUUAAAUGGCGAAUUAUUAGCGAUGAUAUUAUCGGUUCAAAAAAAUCGAGUUUAUCUCUGAGUCUGAGUGCAGUGCAAACACAGAGACAUAAUAUAUAUAUAUAUUUUUAUUUAUCUAGUCAAGUUAGCAGUUCUGAGCAUGCAUCAUGUUGGUUCUUGAAGUUUAAGUUCAUAUUUGAUUUUUCCUUCCUGAAUUCCUUUGUGUGUGCGUGUCUUGGGUUAGGUAAAAAUGUAGAGAGAGCGGAAGGAGAGAUGACAAUUUUAAUUGGAGAGCAAAUACAUGCCCUCUGGACAAGAGGCCAUGUGAGCACAUGUGUGCGUGUGUUGGGAUGGAAAGAAAUGUAGAGAGAGGGGGAAGAGAGAGGGGAUGUAAAAUAGGCAAGUACAUGGCCUAUGGAUAUUGAGUCCAUGUGGGACCAUGUUAAAGGGAAGAGAGGCCAUGUGAGAGAGAGAAAAUUCAUAUGAAAAAAUGGCGACGUGGCUCGAUGGAGGUACGUCGUUUGUUUUCUCCUUAAGUAUAGAGUUUAAUAUCACGAUUUGUGCUUUUUCGGAUUUAAUAAUCAAGACCUACUUAUUACCCCCUGAUUUAUUAGAAAAUCAUUCCCUUUACCCUCUUAGAGGAGAGUAAGCUACUAAUAUUUUAUAGUUUUAGGGGUUUGUUUGUAGGUUUUGAUUCUCCAUUGGGGACGGGGUCAAAUUGCAAUAUAGUCACUGGGGUUAUAUGUAGGGGUGAAAACGGUUGAAUACGGUCGGAUUUUGACAAAAUCAUAUUUAUAUCCAUAUUUUCUUUCGGAUGCGAAUUCGGAUCCGGUUUUGUAUCGGAUGCUAAAUUUUCAUUACCAUAUCCGCUAAAAACGGAUUCGUAUUCGGAUAUGGAUCAUAUUUGUAUUCGGAUAUUAUUUCAAUAAUAAUAUAUACUAAUAUGUAUGAAUUAGCGUGAAUAAGAUACAAUGCAACUAAAGUUCUAUACUCGUGUUCAAAUUUGAUGCCUAUAUUUUAUUCAAUAAAAUCUAACAAGAUUAAAUGCAAUUUUAGCAUGAAACUUAUAAUAAAAUAAACGAAGAACACGACAGAAAACCACCUUUAUCUCCCUACAAUUUAUAUUAACAUUGCCCCUUAUCUCAUAGGGGUGAAAUGGUCGAAUAUGGUAGGAUUUUUGACAAAACCAUAUUCGUAUCCAUAUUUUUUUUUUCGGAUGCGAAUUCGGAUGUCCGAAUUUGUGUCUGAUGCUAAAUUUUGACAUCCGUAUUCGCAUCCUAUUGAAUCCUGUGUUGGAUUUGAUCGAGGUUUUUCUUAACCACUUUCACUCCUAGUUAUAUGCCUUUAGAGAUGGUAAAGUUGUAUCUUACUUGUUUUGGUCAUGAAUUGCUUAUGCAAAUAGCUCAUUAUUUUUUUCAUUUAUUUGUUCUUUAUCCUUUUUUCUGUCCCUUUCAACUUUCAAGGGAGAGAAUGUAUUUCUAUGAUGUUAUUUCAUGCCUAUCAAGUAGAUGAUGGCUAAUCGUUGUUUGCGGUACCUCUUGAUUGUGCAUGUUUCUGUUCAAAAUUCUUUUAUUUUACAAAUAGUUCCUAAUCCUAUGGAGUUGCUAUUUAAGCUCCACAUAUGCUCAUAAAAAUCGAUUAUUUGAAUUUAUUAGGUUUAAUUUUGGGUAAAUUGAACUACUGGUCCCUGCACUUUAGUCAAGUUUCGCUUUAAUCCUUUUUUUUACUUUUAAUUUGGACAUUUGGCAUUCCAAACUUUUAGAAAUGCUUUACAUAGUCCUUGCCUUAAGAGGAAAAUUUAUUGCCCACAUAUACAUCCAUGCACUAGAAUCUGUUAAUCCUCCAUCCAUCUGAUAGUUUAGUCCAACCAUCAAAGUUUAAAAUAGAGAAAAGGCUGCAUAUCAAGUUAUCAACUGAUGGCAGAUGUUGGGAUCGAGGGUUGAUGUACAGCAGUAUUGAUGUACAAAUGCACUGGUUGCAGAUUAUAAUUCUUCCUCUAACAUUUUCAAAAGUUUGGGUUAUCAAGCGUCCAACUUAAAAGUUCGGGGACCAAAAUAAAUCUUUGCUAAAUUUUGUGGACUAGUAGUGCAAUUAUCCUUUAUUUUAGGUAAACUUGAUCAUGUUGUUGGGUUCGCUGAUAAAAUCGUACUUCAAUAUAUGUUAGGAACUGUUUUUUUUCUGCACCAAAGUUUGCCGUACACUGGCAUGAGGCUUUCAGUGUCCCACUGGCACGGCAUAGCAUGUCGGCAUGCUUCGGCACAGAUCUUCUUUUAUAUGUUGGCACAAGUAGCAAAGCAGCACAUGCCUACUGCCACAGAAAUUCUUGAUCUGCACAAAUAAAUAAUUAGAUUUUACGUUAUUUCGGAUGAUCUUUUUUUAUACAUGUCUUGGUUUCCUGAAUGCUUCUAUAUUUUUAUGUAUCAACCGCUAUAAUUAUAUGAUUAUACAUUGUAGUUAUCUUUGAGUAGGUACACUUGAGGGAUUUUCAUUUGAUUCGGAUGAGGAGGCUGACAAAGUGCCAAAGUCGUCUGGCCUUCAAAACGAUCAAAACAAUGAAAAUGGAGAUCAACCCAAUAACACGAAGACCAAAAGGAAAGCUGAUAAAUCAUCGGUAUGUUUUGAAGCCCAUCCAUAGUUUUGCUGAUCGUCUUAUUUCCUUGUGAAAUUCUUUGAGGGGGCAUUGAAAAAGUAAAUCUUUAGAUGUUUCUGAAAAACUUUAUCCUUUGGAAUUUGUCGUGAUCGGCCCUUUCUUUCUGGUUUAUAAGUUUCUUAAAAAUUAUCUUCAGGAAUCGAACAUCAAGUCUCUUAAUUGGUAAAUAAAUAGGAAUGAUGGUACGUGCCGACAUAUGGUUACUUUUUAAUGCUGCUUCUUGCUUCUAGUUUAUGUAAUGUUGAAAUAUCAAAUGCAUAAUGAUUAUAGUUUGGCUAUUCAAUAAUGCACAAUAUUUUUUUUUUUAAUUCUUUUAAAGACUUGAUGUGGUUAAAAUUUUUUGAGAUACUUCUACAUAUAAACAGAUUGAAACCAGCAGGUCUAUAAUGACAUAGAAUUUAACAGCUACUGACUUUUGAUAAGGUAAAAAAUGCUCCCCUAUUCCGCCGUGGAAAAACUAUUAUUUCUUUUAUGUAAAAUGUAUAAAACUUGCCUGAACUAUAGACUAUUUUGAUUCGACUACCCAACAUUUCAAAAUUUUAAUUAUAGUACACAACCUUUCAAUUUGUUUGAUUUAAGUAAUUUGAUGGCUCUUCAAAUGCAAAAUUUAACCCGACUGCUUAUUUUAAUGAAUUUAUAGUUACGUAAUUUGUAUAAAAUAUACUAAAUAAACCCGUAAAGAUAAACGGUGCUUUCAAAUUUUGACUUUAAAAAGUCACUAAUUGGCUCAAAUCAAAUAAAUUAAAAGGUCAGGUAGUAAAAUCAAAAUUUUUGAAGGUUCGGUAGUCGGAUCCAAAUGGGUGAUAGUUGAGUUAAUGUUUAAACAUUUUUACCUUUCUUUCAUCUUGAAAAUUAGGGUGGAGGUCUUUCGGAAUUUUCCUUUGGGUAAUGAUUACUUUGAAUUCCAGUCUUUUGUGUCUGAGGGAAUUGCUUCUAUUUGGCCAUGAAAGUUUUUAUUGACUUAUUCUUAGAUGCUUAUGAAUGAAUUUUCACCAUUAGGUCACUAUAACAGUUUAUUAAGGUCGAUUUAAAAGAAAAAUACCACUGCUCAUGGUGACUAACAGUGAAUGAAACAUGCAGGGUCCGGUGCAUAAGAAGGCAAAAAAAGUGGAAAGACCAUCAACUAAAAAAGCAGUAAAGAAACAUCAAGCUGUGAAGAGAACAAAGAAGUCGAAGAAAUGAGACUUUCACAUGGUUUUUAAUCAUGCAUCUUAUUUCGAUCAUUAGAGGAAAACAUUCGGUUCGGUUUCUUUCUACCAUUUAUUCUUCGACGGUCCGCAAUUAUUGCUAGUGUAUUACACCGUGUAUCGUAUCUGUAUCAUAUCUUUCUUUUCACUGAAUUAUAUAUUCUAGUAGUAUUACAUUGUUUAUAUAUCAUCUUGACAAUCAGUGACUCAGAAUCUUUGAUAUUUAGUCAUCUUGACAAUCAAUGACUCAUAAUCUUUGAUAUUUAGUCAAAAAGCAUUAGUUGCUUCCGCUUUGUAAUCGUGUCUGACGUUUUGAAACUUCCUUUCUUCCCAUCAUCAUAGAAAAAAAUACCUUCCAAUAUUUGCGGUGAGCGCAUGCGGUUGUAUGUUUAUUGCAGUUCUUAUAUAUGUAUAUUUUUUCCAAGUAUGGGACAUUGAAACUUCCUGUUCCCUCUGCCUAUUGCUCUCUCUUAUUCAGAUAUUGUUUUCUUUAAUUCUUCAGAAUAAAGUCUGCGAAAAGUAAUUCUUUUACUUACAAGGAAUUGCCAAGACAGCAUCCGUCAUGAACUGAUCCUAUCAAACUCAAUUCUAGGCGGCUUCAAUGUUAGAGGUUGUUUGGUUGCAUGCAGAUGCUAUUUCAUUGCCGAGUUAAUUGUAUGCAAAUUCAAAUACGGUAUUCGAAUACAGAAUUCAAUUGUUGCAGUUUAAAUUGUAUCCAAAUUGGUUGUAGUUCUAUCCACUGCAAUUAUCGAACAGUUGAAUCACUCAAAAAAAAAAAAAAAAGUUUAAAAAGAUAUCUUCAAGCUACCGAACUACUUAUUUGGCCCCCAAAUCAGUCGAUGUUCCAACAACAUCUUCUUAAAGGACUAUAUAUCCAAAACAAGCCUUCUCUAGUCAGUUCUCCGAAAUUGCAUAAUUUUAGUUAAUGAGAAUGCAUUGUUCCACCACAACCCUUAGAAUAAAAGACAAGAUGUUAAUGAAAUGGUGUUGGAAACGGGCUUUUUUUGCAAAUAGACCCCUGACAAAAUUUUAUUUUAAAAUUAGCCCUAUCAAAUUUGAAAUUGCAAAAAUGAUCCUACUCCUGCCAGCAGGCGUUACGUCAGCGCCACGCGGGCAAGCUGGGGCCAGGUAUGUAAGUUGAACACAGUGAACCAUUCACCGUGUUCAAACACGGUGAAUGGUUCACCGUGUUCAAUUUAAACAACCUGGCCCCCGCCAAGCCCAGGGCGUGGCGCUGACGUGGCGCCCGCGUGACUGGCCCAGGGCCAUUUUUGCAAUUUAAAUUUUGACAGGAUCAUUUUUGAAAUAAAAUUUGUCCAGGGGGCUAAUUGCAAAAAAAAACCCGUUGGAAACCUUCUGCUGGAGAAGCAUCAAGCAAGACGCUUCUUCCAUGGAGGUUCCUACCGACAUUUUGUAGCGCUGAAGGAGUGGAGCUUUCAAUAUAUAAAUAUAUAUAUUUUUUAAGCUCUAAAGCAUUAAAUUGAUUGCAUUUUAUUACUCACUCCCAUACAAGGACCGAGCCAUUGGCAUAAUGUCACGGCCUUAGCAUUUUUACUCGCAAAGUCCGUGCAACGUCUGCUUUCCUCCUCAAAAAUAGACAAGCCUAACUCGCUAUUGCUAAUCUAGACCUCCAUGCCCUACGACUAAAUAUGCAAAAAGUGACUACAUAUGCAAAAACGAGAAAAAAGAGAGAGAGAGUGAUUCCCAAAAAAUUAAAUACUCCGCCUAUUUAGAAAAAUAGAACUACAAUACACAACUACUCUUCUUGUUUCCUCCUUAGCCUUAGCCAACCCUCUAUUUAUUGAUACAAAAUAUAUUGAACCUAGCCUAUAAUAAUUCACCCACUAAGCAUAUAUUAACUCUCUCACUAUCACAUAGUAAAAUAACUCUCAUGAACGUAAGGUGAUCUUAAAGGUUGCGCGUGACUUUUUCUCGAUAGUUUUGGAGCCUUUAUAUCCAGCAAUUACAUAUCCUUUUAUUUCCCACAAUGGCUGCUGGUUUGAGUCUCUUUGACAGCCCGUUCAGCUAGCGAAGUUGCUAUGCUAGGGACUUGGCCGAGCUGAAAUUUUCCUACGUCCCUGACAAUAAGGUACGCAAAGCAUAUUUACAGUCCAAACAUGAUAUCGAACUCAUAAUGGUGUUUUCAGAUCUUCCUCUGCACAAACAUUUUACUGCAAGGUUAGCGAGCGUUUACAAACCUCUACACAAUAACAACUAAAUAUACAUGAACCUCAGCAGGUUUUCGACAAAGCGCAGCACACGGCAAAAAACAAGAAUUUAUUGCGCGUCUCAUUGCCCGGUCACCAGCAUCUCUAAGGACAAACAAAUUGUAUGCAAGAGAGAGGCAUUCAUAAACCCACAACCCAAAAUAAUCUAAAAGUUCACUUCACAAUUUACCUAUUUCGAGAUGAGAAAAGGAUGUGCAUUUAUAGACAAACAAAGGAAAGAAUUAGAGUAUGUCUUAUUUAAAAAAAGAAAUUUAAAAUUGUUUUAAUGUCAGAUCAAACUAGAAGUGCCUUGGAGAGGAGGAGCGCCGCUCUGGGGUGAAAACCCUGUGAAUGGAUCGCUGAACGGAUUGGCCGGUGCAACGGCCUGGGGAUGUUGAGGGUAGUUAGGUUGAUGAUAAGGAUGCGGCGUCAUGUUCAUCGUCAUCGUCAUGUCAUGUUGCUGUUGAGCCAUCAUAGACAUCUGUACGUUGGUCGGAGGUGCAAUGCUAUUGGACAUCGCGAACGGGUCGUGCGGCUCGAAAGGAUUGGUGGCGGCCGGGCCACCAUAUGUUGCUGUGGUUUGUUGUCUUCUUGCACCAUCGUCGUAUAAGCUAUCAAGCAGAAGCUUAUCGAAGCCACCAGCCUAGUUGGACGAAAAGGCCAAACAUUAUCAAGACAGUUAAAACUAUACUAAUGAGUCAAACAGAAAAAGAAAUCCUUCUUACUACCCAACAAAGAGAGAGAGAGAGAGAGAGAGAGAGAGAGAGAGAGAGAGAGAGAGAGACUUUGAAAAACUCUUAGGACCAACCUGCUGCUUCAGUUACAUGACCAUGUCGCACAAUAUCAAAUGGUUAAUGCACAGCUUUGAACGACAGUUGCAUUCUUUGCCCGAUGAAAAAUUUUGGAUCACUUCUUAUGGUCUAGGAAUUUUGACUACUCAGUUGAUUCAACACCACUCCACUACAUGAGCAUUUCAGAAUGUAAAUUUCUUCCUUGAAAUUCAGAGAAAGAAAGACUACAUCCAGAAACUGUAUCUCAACCAUUCAAAAUUGUACACUGUUGUCCUGAUUUUUUUCCCUAAAAGUUGAAAAGUGGGCAAAGGUUUCAAAAUGAAAGUGCUUAAUUUUUCUUGCAAAUACAAAGUUAUAUACUUCUUCUAUUCCAAUAAAAGGCCAAUGUUAUAAGAAAUGGAGGAAAAAUGGAAAGGAGGUUACUUUAAAAAGACAUUUCAUCACGUAUUUUCUUCCUAUGCAAUGUGCUAAAAGGUACCAAAAUGGGCCAUUCCGAGACUACUCUGUAUUUGUUCCUAAGGAAUUCGGUUCUAUGGGUUCCAAUACCAAAUUUAAUGCUUCAUGCUCGUAUAAUCUAGCUACUACAUUUUUGAAAUACUUUUCAUAAAUUUAGCAGCGUUUCGUCAUUUAGAUUAAUAAUAAAUACUCGUAUGCAGAAAUCUGCUUCUAACAUCUACUUUAUUGACACGUAUGUAUCGUAGAUAAUAGAAUUAGGUAAUCACUUAAUACCGCUCCUCUGUUCGAGGGCAGAGAUGACUUUGAGAACUUCUUCUUUGAGAGGAAGAUCAUCACAUUCUCCUUAAGAUAUUAUGAUCUACAAAAUAAACCCCUACUUCUCUCAUACUUCACAGUGAAAAGAGGAGAGGAUCCAUUUAUAAUUCAUGCCCUUUAACGAGAUCAACCAAAUAAACUCACCAACAAGAGGAGAAAGGCAGAAACAAAAGAGAUAGACAUAAACUAGAAGACCAGUUUCGGUGACUAGCUGAUUGUAGAUAGGAGCUCUUGGGUUUCAAACAUUCAAAGAGGACGCCCAACCAGUCGACCGGGUUAGUCCACCUCUAGCCAGGAAUGUUCGUGUGAUAAACUCACCUAUAAAGUAGCAAGUUGGUUUAAUAAGUUAAAGGUUUUUUAGAACAAAAUACACUACAAGUCGUCCCAAAAAGUCGCAAGAAAAUGGCACUUGUUGGCCUGUAAGGUUGAAAUUUGCUCUUUGUACAAAUUACUGCAACUUUCAAGAUAUCAGCAGGUGAAGUAUCAGAACAUUAUGUUGUAGUGAAACUAAAAAAAAAAGGAAAAAAAAAGUCAAUCAAGCGUACCAGUUUGCUCUCAGUCAAUUGGUUAUUGUUGUUACUUGCUGACGACACUAAAGCUAAUUCCCAACCAGAAGAAUCAGUUGCACCACCAAAAAAGCCACUGGUACUAGCUGCUUUGGAACUGUCCCCUGCAAACAACAUGUUGCACUUAAUAGUUAAUACCAACAUUAAAUGAGCUCAUCACUGAUACACCAACUAUCCGAAGAAACAGAAGGUUCUAAAGCUUCUAGUUUCUUGGCAUAUUGAAUUAAAAAAGCAAAAAUGCUCAGUAGAAUUUCAGAUAGACUUUAAAAAAAGCAAGACUUUAGAUUUCAAGUGAAUAUUUCAAGAAUAUAAAUGUAUUAUUAACUACAGAAUCACCUGAUGGAAUGAUAGCCAGAGCCAGUGCAUUACUUUCUUCAAGUUCAGCAGCAACAGGGUUUAUUUCGUCCAAACCCUGCAUGAUCACACACAAGAUGAAUUUAUUUCUAUAUGAUAAAAAGUCCAAAUAGUGAGAAAUAGAUGAAGGAUAAAAUACUCACCAACAGAUCAGCUGUUGUUGCAGUUUGAGCUGCAAUCUCAACUGUAGUAGUAGGCUGUGGUUGUUCUUCGGGCUCAACAAGUGUAGGUUUUUCAUCUUCAAUUGUAGGUUCUUUUAUACUCUCUACAGGAGGAAGAGGAGAUGAUUCUUCUUCCUGUGUCACUAAGUUACUCUUCUGAUAUUCCUGUUUCAACAGAAUUUAGUCCGAUAAACACUUGAAUUUUAUUCUAUGCUACACAGAACCAACAACUGACCGACCCAAAACGUAUGUAUGAAGAGUUACGAGAUGCAUAGAAGUUUUAAAUUACCCACACCCCCUAAGAAAAAAAGCAAGUCCACUCUGUAAGGACUCCACAUUGGCAAGAGUUAAAAGACUCGGGAGAAGGAUAUAAAUGUCUUUCUGUACAUUUUUACGAAUUUCUAACAGGUUACAAAUAAAAUAUUCACAUCUUCCACGAGAAAAGGAAUUCUUAUAUGCUAAAUUGUAUUCGACCAAAAGUUCAUUUGUUUAUUACAGAAGUCAUAAUUCCAAAAACAAAAUACAAAUCAUUGACCACUUACUACGCUGGGCUAUAGUCAAGAUGAACAUAAAUAUGCACAAUAUACUGACACAAUUUCGAUAGACAGCAGGAAGAAAUAGAGCUGGUAGCAGGGAAAACUCCUUCAACCCCUUUUUGCAAUCCGUUAAUGUCAAACUAUGCACAAAUACAUAUUCAUGGUUUACUGAAAAUCAAGAAGGUACAAAUCCAGUGAAUAACUUAUUAGUCCAAAACAUAUUCACUUGUAUAGAUUAACCUAUAUAUAGAAGUGCAAUAGCAAUUUAGGCGCCCAACAUGCACGUGAUAACUAUAACACUGAGAAGUCUUUUUGCAGAGUGACUUUUAAAUCACAAGCCAUUUAAUCAUUUCUAAAGAAAAUAUAUACCAGUGAAGGCUCCAAAUGCAUCUAGCACAAGGAUGCUUACGAUGCUAACUUUCAUGCUUAAAUCAACAUUUGUUCAAAUUCUAUUACUCACAAUGGCCUUAUUUGAUACAGAGCCGGUUCGAGGUGCUUCUCUUAUGUAUUCUUCCAUCGUUGCGAGAAAUGAUGGAGGCGGCUGAAGAAAGUCAGCAUGGAAAAAAAAGAACAUCAAUUUUCGAAUAAGAAUGUAACAAAUUUAUUCUAUCAAUUCAAAUGCGAAUAACCACAAUGCUAGACCUCUUUAAGAAUUGGAAACUGGAAGUUCCUAGCAAGCUCCAAACCUCUGCAGAACUCAUAGAAGUCAGAAAGACUUUUUGCCUGUUGAAUAAACAGAUCUUCAGCACCCAGAAAAUUGAAAAAGAAACAGUUGGCAACAUAAUUCAGCAAAACCUCUCAACAAGAAUAUUUCCUGCCAGAAGAGACAUACCAGAUGGCCAGCUCUUUUGUAGAUGUCAAGAGCUUUAAUAGCAUCAAGUCUUGACAUGUCAAAGAACUGCAGUAUAUUAGUACUUAGUUAAGAGAAAAUCUACAGUGAUGGGAAAACUGGAAGAAAGAAGAAGGUCAUGGAGGUACCAUAUCGACAAUAUUGAUAAUCCCAUCGUUAAUUGCACAAUAGAUUUUGAAGCUCUCCUUUAAAACCUGAGUAAAAGGAGCAAUUCUAAGUACCCUGUUGUUUUUAUAGGAAUAAAAAUAACUUCACGACAAUCAAUUUCUUCAAGGAUAAAAGGAUUAAUGACAUGUGUGUGUUUAAUGAGGAGAAAUAGACUCCAAGAUAAAAUGGAUUUGUUUUCAAAUGCAGUCAGGCGGGACAUAUUAUUGAAUCAUCAUCAACAAUUGCUGAACUACAGGUUCAUCCAUGAAAAACUCAAGAUGUAAAAUAACCAAACAAUCAUAUGAAACCUGGCUAUUACGUUGACAGCAUUUGCAAAACUAAUAUAAACAAUACCAUCACUUUCCUGUAUAACUGGGGAAAAUUAAGCAGAGUUAUCACUACUAGAUAUUUGCCUUUAUACAUCAUUUUUUCUUCCAUCUCUGAGAGUAACAAAAGGAAGAGUUUUUUGUCAAUGGGUGAACAGAUUUAAUAAACUUUUAUACACUAAGGCGACUAGUGUUAAUAAAAGAAGUUAAACAACGGAAUUAAAAAAAUCUAUAGAACAUAUAAAUAAAUUAACCAGCACAGUAUUAACUGGGAAAGAGUAUUGAACAGAAAACAUCAUAAUAUCCAGUGCAAGUAUAGCCAAGAAUAAGCAGUAGUAAUCCUUGUUUGCGCAUGACAAUUACUAACAUUCCUAUUCAUGCAACUCCAGUGAGAAUGACAAUCAUGAUGAACUUGGAUGAUAUAGUAACUGUUUAUGACUAGUAUAACGGUUAAACUAAUAGAGCAUAUGGCUUUGAUUAAAGAAUCAAGCUACUUCACGCAUUACAUUUUACAAGGCAACAAAGCUUGUUAGCAAAUAAAGUAUGUUUUCAUUAACAACAAAACAUUACAGGUUACUGACAAAGGCCAAAAGUUUACAACUAUCACAAGCAAAAUAAUGCUUAUGAAAAGAUGAUGCAUUUUUUACCAUUUAAAUACUACAUAACUAUACAGGCUCAGACCUAAUAAAAGGGAGAGAGUAAUAAUGUUCUUUGAGACACGGUAAGUUCGCAACCAAUAAGAUGGAACAUAGCAGGACAAGAGGACAUACCAGAGCUAGUGCAUAUUGUACAAGAUAGUUCCCAAAAGCAGCUCCUUCAGGCUGCAAUAUUCAAAUAAGUCAGCAAGCAAGCUAUUAUCCAGAAAACAAAAAACUAAUCAAUGACCAGAAAACAAAAGACUAGUCAAUGACCAGAAAACAAAAGACUAAUCAAUGGGAAGUUUCACUAGUUUAUUUCUUUAAGAGACUCACCAUCAACCAAUAAAAGGAACAGAAAGUGGAAGUGGCAAUUUACUACCUGGCAGCCAACGAGGCGGAAAAGCAACUGCUGCAAUGCAGGCAGCUGUUCUAGAAGAUCCUCACAACUUAAAUGCCUUGUCCUACUAUGCCCCUUAAAAUUUCAUGAAAAUAAAAGAAAAGAGAAAUAAAUAAAGAGAAGAUCAGCAAUAGCUCCAUCAAACAAACUUUUUGAAAGUGAAGAAACACACCUUAGAAGACCCUUCUGUGGGUUUCGCUAAUCGUUCUGCUUCAAUAUCAUAUUUUAAGACCCUAAAGCACUCAAGUCGUUCCUCCAAGAAUAGUGCAUAUGUGCGAACCCAUGCAGAGCAAUCCCAAGCUAGAAGAAAAUUCUAAACAAUUCAGAAAUAUGAAUUUCAAGAUAAUUUACUUGCUAAACCUGCCUAUACUGCAGAGAAAACUGUGAAAGAACUUUUGCUGCAAAAUUUCAGCAGACAACCCUACCUUGAGGACUAGAGUCAUCCUUGAAAUUGGAUAUCUGCAAAACAUGUCCCUUGUGUGAAUAGUUUAAUAGGUCCUCUCUAAAUGUCGGAUCACCCUCUCUCAAUAUCCUGUGUAUAACUAUCAAUGUUUUAAGAGCAACCUGUAGAUAUGUAAUCGACAUAAUCAUAUCUGAAAGAUGGAUAAAAUCAACAAACACUGUAAGAGCAUUAAAUAUCAAUAAAAUACACAAAGCAGUAUUGUACUUUUAUAAUUGAUAAUAAACAAGUUUUUUCAACAUUGUGACCUUAUAGGCCUAUUUGGAUGCGUAGAUCGCUCGUUCGGUUUAUGUUUUCUGUGUACUCGAGAGACAUUUGGUAAUUGGUUGGUGGGAAGAUGGAAAGAUGUCUGCAACUGUCAUGUUAUAUACAGCCUCUACAUCAUUCUAAAAUUAUGAGAUGAUAAAUCAUCUCAUAGGUGGAAUGUACUUCCCUGGAAAUUUGGAAUUGUUAAGAUUUCACAACAGCUAAAAAGAUAAAAAUCUUAGGCCAUAAUCACAUGAGAAAUCUCCGUAAGGCACAAGUAUUCCAGCAUAGCCUGGUUCAACAUCCAAAUCAGUCCUAUAUGUUCCAUAGUUGUCAAUCAGUUCUAGUAUGAAUUAUAGGCACUUCUCGUCAAAACAUCACCCCAGAACAAGCAACUUUGAUUAAAACAAAUAAUGGUCUGUUUUGAUUCAUGCUUUCUGCUACAAUAUUUGCUCCCUAGAAAAGAGGAAAUACACCUUUAUAGUCAAAUUAGUGGUGCAAAUGAGUCAUGAAAGAAAAGAUAUAAUACCCUAAUCAUAACAAAUAUUUGAGGACUAAGGGAAGUCUAAUGCCAACACCCUUACAGGAAAUUGAAGAUUUUCAUCUUUGUGUGAUGUAAAUCAAUACUUAAGAAACCAAAUGAGAAACAAGAUGGACAAUCAAAAUAUCAAUGAAAAGCGGCACCAGGUUAGUUAAAUGCGAGUAUUCUUGUUUGCAAAAAUCCAAAUAACUUAUUGCAGUAAAUUUUGCCAUACUAAAAUUCCCUCAAGUAAUGACUUGAUCGAAGCAAAAUUGAGCAGAUUAUAUAAGAACAUUGGCCAAUCCAAACUUAUCUUAACAAACUAGAAAAUUCAAUAUUUCCAAUCAGAUCCAAAUUAUUUUCAACUAGUAACAACUUUACAUUGUACAAAUUGUGCUAGUAACAACAAUCAGCAAACAUCUUUGCUCUCAGUACGUUGAAGAUGGGAUUGAACUUGACUAAGAAAGAUUUGAUACAAAGAUAAACACCUAGUAAAGUGACCAAAUCGUAAAGUCAACUCACUGCGACAAUAUAAGCAAUAAAGAGAUAGAUUGAUAGAGAAACAUACCACCCAGUUAUGAGUCUUAGCUAAUCUCCUCGCAAGCGUGUGCACGCAAUAAGAAACAUCCGUUCGUGGACGGGAGGCUGAGGUAGCAGCAAAUAACUCUGGACCGCACACAACAUGCAGAAAUUAACAAAUUUAGACAACUUAAUCCAGUUACACCAAAUGAGAAACAGCAAAAUAAUUCCUUACCCUACAUUCAAUAACUCAAAGUACAACAUCAAUCGAACUAACCCGUAAAAGAACUCAACUCAUAACCAAUGAAUUCUUGUUUAAUCACCGCAGCAAAAGAUCAAAACACAACCAAUUGUAUAUGAUUGUAAACAAACUUCCACAAAUCAUUGCCAACCCUAAAGAAAUCAAUGAAAUAACAGCAAAUUCUACUCAAAGCGCUACUCACUUCUAAUGUGCCGCUCCUUCGGCGGCCGCUCCACGUGGUUCGUGGCCUUCACUACAGCGAUAUCCAGAUCCUACUAGCAUCAAAAACAUAGUCAAAAGAGAGAGAAGGAUCGGAGAAGGGAGAGAAAGGGAGAGAGGGAGGGGAUCGGACCUUGAAUUCGCUGUUGACCUUGGCGAGGCUGACGGUGGUGGAGUCCUUGAUGGCGCCGUAGGCCUUGCGCCAGCUCUGGAGCGUCCCCAUUGCCCACCUCAAAACCCUAGCCCUAACCCUAACCCUAACCCUUAGCGACGGGGACGAAGAAGAGGAGGCGGAGGAGGGGAUCGCGGCGGUGAUCGUCACCGCCGCGAGGGGUUUUAUUUCGAAACUUCGUUAUUCUCCCUUCGCCUCCCUCCGUCGUUCGCUCUGCGUAGAGAAUUAAUUAAUAAAGGAAAAGGGUUAAUUUCAUAUACGUCCCUGUAAACAUCACAAAUUAUAAAUAUGUCCCUAUAAAGUUUAACUUUUAUAUAUAUAUAUUUUUUUAAAUUCUGAUAUUUUUAAAUAUGUCUCCGCUAUUAGAAUCCGCUAGAAAAAAUUAGUUAAUCAUAGGUAAAAUACUUAAUAAUAAUUAAUUAAUAAGCAUUUUUAACUCUCUUCAAUUAGUAAUUCUAUAUAUUUGUAAUGACAAAAAGGUCAUUUCACUUGUAAAAUAAAUAAAGCUUUAACGAUAAUAAACCAGAGAGACAUAUUUAAAAAUAUUAUGACUUUUGUAGGGACAAUAUAUGAAAAUUGAACUUUGUAGGAAUAUAUUUAUAACACACUGUGUUUGUAAGGACGUGUAUGAAAAAAAAAAAAGAAUAAAAUUUAUAGAUGGAUAGUCCCUGUCCUAUCCUGAUAUUAGGAUUCGGUCCCUGUUCUAUUUUUUUUGCUUGGAGUGUUAAUUGCGACAUUGAUCCCUAACCUUUACCCAUAUUUCCACUCGCUGCCUUAAAUAUUUUACUAUUGUUGAAUCUUAAUCAUUCAAGUACUUUAUUAAUUUUGACGGAACAUCUAUUGUUAUCGUUUAGUAGGUCCCGUCAAUAUUUUCAAAUCUAUUUACUCACCGUUUGGUACAGAUAUAAGCAAGAACUAGCUAUUACAGAGAUAGAUACAAAUAUGGGGAUAAGAAAAAUAGCAUUUUGAUAAAAAUUUGGUUGUUUCCGGGAAUAAAAAAAUAGCAUUUGUAUAGAUAAUAUGGAAUAAGAAAAAUAAUGGGUGGUUAUAUAUAAAAAUUGAAGGUGUUGGUGGAAAUAGUUAUACUAAAUUAUUUUAAGUACCUAAGAAUUACUAUUUUCGGAUAAAAAAAUUAGUGUUUGGAUAUAAAAGAUUAUUCCACCCCUUAUUCCCAAUCCAAACAUGUUAAAGAAAAAUUAUUUAAAUUUUCAAUUGAUUGCGCACAGUUUCAAAAAAAAAAAUAUAUAUAUAUAUAUUCAUGUCGAGAGUUCCAAGGCAUUUUCUUCAAGUAAAAUAUAGUCAUUUUAUUAAAAGGGUGGAAAGCAAUUACAUAUUUUUUAAAAAAUUCUAAUUUUUUCUAGGGUAAACUACAAAUUAUUUUUCUAUAAUUUAGCUCAUUUUUACUCUGUCACCUUGCGAUUUGAAAAUUUUCAACUUACUUUCUUGCGAUUUAAUUUUUAUUUUACAAAAAAAAAAUUAUAUAAAAUAGAAUGACAGAGUAAGAUUUUUUUUUUAAACUACAGAAUAGCAAAGUGAAAAAUAUAGUAAACUAUAGUGGGAUAAACUAUAAAGUAAAACUUAUUGAACCACAAGGUGGCAAAGUGAAAAUAAAUUAAACAAUAAGGGGGAGGGGGCAAAGUGAAAUUUUUUGGACCAUAAGGUGUGGUUACUACUAUUUUUUUUCACCUGUAUAUAUUUUCGGUUAUAAUUUGUUUAUAAUUAUAUUGAACUAAACGACUUCGAAGUAGAAUAGCGUAAGUAAUAAAAAUAGGCUAAAAUAUAGAAAAACUCUCUGUAAAUACUGUUUUUUCUCUUUUACUUUUUCUCUUGACUUUCAAAAAUUUAGAUUUUGCCCUCUUAAUAUUUUAGAAAUAUUUUUAGAGAAUUAUAGCGUUAAUGGAGAGGACAAAUUAAUCAAAUUAUCUUUACUUAUUUUAUAAGAAAAAAAAUAAUUUUUUUAGUAUGUUUUUGUUAUUUUUAAAGAUAUUUUUAAGAUAAAUUAUAAGAAAUAGAUAAAAUAGUGAUGGAAUCUUGAUGAAGGGGGAGCUGAAUAUAUUAACUAAAAAUUUGGAGAGGGUAAAAUAUGAUUUUUUGUAAGUAAGAAAAAAGUGAAAAGUAAAUAUUUACAGAAUUUUAUUUUUUGUAUUUUAGCUAAAAAAAAAGAAUUAAAAAAUA